CCUACGGGAGGCUGCAGUAGGGAAUAUUGCUCAAUGGGGGAAACCCUGAAGCAGCAACGCCGCGUGGAGGAUGAAGGUUUUCGGAUUUUAAACUCCUUUUGUUAGAGAAGAGAAUGACGGUAUCUAACGAAUAAGCACCGGCUAACUCCGUGCCAGCAGCCGCGGUAAUACGGAGGGUGCAAGCGUUACUCGGAAUCACUGGGCGUAAAGAGCGCGUAGGCGGGAUAGCAAGUCAGAUGUGAAAUCCUAUGGCUUAACCAUAGAACUGCAUUUGAAACUGUUAUGCUAGAGUAUGGGAGAGGUAGGUGGAAUUCUUGGUGUAGAGGUAAAAUCCGUAGAUAUCAAGAGGAAUACUCAUUGCGAAGGCGACCUGCUAGAACAUAACUGACGCUGAUGCGCGAAAGCGUGGGGAGCAAACAGGAUUAGAUACCCCAGUAGUC
rnacentral:rRNA from 1 species